rnacentral:rRNA from 1 species
AUUGAACGCUGGCGGCAUGCCUUACACAUGCAAGUCGAACGGCAGCACGGGAGCAAUCCUGGUGGCGAGUGGCGAACGGGUGAGUAAUAUAUCGGAACGUGCCCAGUAGUGGGGGAUAACUGCCCGAAAGAGCAGCUAAUACCGCAUACGACCUGAGCGUGAGAGGGGGGGAUCGCACGACCUCUCGCUAUUGGAGCGGCCGAUAUCAGAUUAGCUAGUUGGUGGGGUAAAGGCCUACCAAGGCAACGAUCUGUAGUUGGUCUGAGAGGACGACCAGCCACACUGGGACUGAGACACGGCCCAGACUCCUACGGGAGGCAGCAGUGGGGAAUUUUGGACAAUGGGCGCAAGCCUGAUCCAGCAAUGCCGCGUGCAGGAAGAAGGCCUUCGGGUUGUAAACUGCUUUUGUCAGGGAAGAAAUCCUCUAGGUUAAUACCCUUGGGGGGAUGACGGUACCUGAAGAAUAAGCACCGGCUAACUACGUGCCAGCCGCCGCCGUAAUAC